rnacentral:snoRNA from 1 species
UUUCUAUGAUGAAUCAAACUAGCUCACUAUGACAUACAUAAUGAAAACGUUUGAACACCUGAGAAAC